GUCGUACCAGUUGUUCAUCGGUCCUCCUCCUCCUUCCAUCCCCAUCCUCACACAGUCCUCUCCUGCUGGGUUCUCCUCAGUCCAGUUAUCCGGCUCCUGUUUGCUCCAAAACCACAAACUGCAUAGGGCAGAACAGAACCGGGUGGCUCCUCACGAAAUGCUGGAGAGAAGACGUGAAGAUCUGACUUCAUUUGUUCUCCUGAUCAGAUUAAAUAGAUGUGAUCCAGAAGAACAUGUUCCAGACCUGCUCCUCUCUGCUGUCGACCUUAACCAGAUCUGCUCCUGCUUCCCUGCAUCUACUCCUGCUCUCCUCCCAGGAAAACUGGUUCGUGGAAAAGUAAUAACAUGUUCCUUCAAACUGGACCCAGCUGUUCUCACAGGAUGGCCCGUCUUCAAACACUGCAACACAUGUUUUAAUGUGGAGAUCCAGAACCAAACCAAAUAAAGACAAAACCUUCCA